GACGAACGCUGGCGGCGUGCUUAGCACAUGCAAGUCGAACGGAAAGGCCCUGCUUUUGUGGGGUGCUCGAGUGGCGAACGGGUGAGUAACACGUGAGUAACCUGCCCUUGACUUUGGGAUAACUUCAGGAAACUGGGGCUAAUACCGGAUAGGAGCUCCUGCUGCAUGGUGGGGGUUGGAAAGUUUCGGCGGUUGGGGAUGGACUCGCGGCUUAUCAGCUUGUUGGUGGGGUAGUGGCUUACCAAGGCUUUGACGGGUAGCCGGCCUGAGAGGGUGACCGGCCACAAUGGGACUGAGAUACGGCCCAGACUCCUACGGGAGGCAGCAGUGGGGAAUAUUGCACAAUGGGCGGAAGCCUGAUGCAGCAACGCCGCGUGCGGGAUGACGGCCUUCGGGUUGUAAACCGCUUUCGCCUGUGACGAAGCGUGAGUGACGGUAAUGGGUAAAGAAGCACCGGCUAACUACGUG
rnacentral:rRNA from 1 species